rnacentral:rRNA from 1 species
CGUGAGCGGCGGACGGGUGAGUAACGCGUGGGUAACCUGCCUCAUACAGGGGAUAACAGUCAGAAAUGACUGCUAAUACCGCAUAAGACCACGGUACCGCAUGGUACAGUGGUAAAAACUCCGGUGGUAUGAGAUGGACCCGCGUCUGAUUAGGUAGUUGGUGGGGUAACGGCCUACCAAGCCGACGAUCAGUAGCCGACCUGAGAGGGUGACCGGCCACAUUGGGACUGAGACACGGCCCAA